rnacentral:tRNA from 1 species
GGUAAGGUGGCUGAAUUUUUAGGUGAUAGACUGUAAAUCUAUUUAUGGGUGUUGACCCCUCUUACCA